UAUGUAUAUGUAUGUGUGUGUGUGUGUGUAUGUAUAUAUAUAUAUAUAUACACACACACACAUUUUUAUUAGUUUU